rnacentral:rRNA from 1 species
AACGAACGCUGGCGGCAUGCCUAACACAUGCAAGUCGAACGAGACCUUCGGGUCUAGUGGCGCACGGGUGCGUAACGCGUGGGAACCUGCCCUUAGGUUCGGAAUAACUCCCCGAAAGGGGUGCUAAUACCGGAUAAUGUCUUCGGACCAAAGAUUUAUCGCCUUUGGAUGGGCCCGCGUUGGAUUAGCUAGUUGGUAGGGUAAAAGCCUACCAAGGCGACGAUCCAUAGCUGGUCAGAGAGGAUGAUCAGCCACACUGGGACUGAGACACGGCCCAGACUCCUACGGGAGGCAGCAGUGGGGAAUAUUGGACAAUGGGCGAAGGCCUGAUCCAGCAAUGCCGCGUGAGUGAUGAAGGCCUUAGGGUUGUAAAGCUCUUUUACCCGGGAUGAUAAUGACAGUACCGGGAGAAUAAGCUCCGGCUAACUCCGUG